CCUACGAGAGGCUGCAGUGAGGAAUAUUGGUCAAUGGUCGGGAGACUGAACCAGCCAAGCCGCGUGAGGGAUGAAGGUACAGAGUAUUGUAAACCUCUUUUGUCAGGGAACAAAGGCGGGGACGCGUCCCCGGAUGAGUGUACCUGACGAAAAAGCAUCGGCUAACUCCGUGCCAGCAGCCGCGGUAAUACGGGGGAUGCGAGCGUUAUCCGGAUUUAUUGGGUUUAAGGGGUGAGCAGGGGGUCUGUUAAGUCAGCGGUCAAAGCCCGGGGCUCACCCCCGGCCCGCCGUUGAAACUGGCAGUCUCGAGUUGGAGAGAAGUAUGCGGAAGGCGCGGUGUAGCGGUGAAAUGCAUAGAUAUCGCGCAGAACUCCGAUUGCGAAGGCAGCAUGCCGGCUCCACACUGACGCUGAGGCACGAAAGCGUGGGUAUCGAACAGGAUUAGAUACCCUAGUAGUC
rnacentral:rRNA from 1 species